UACAGAGGGGGCAAGCGUUAUUCGGAAUUAUUGGGCGUAAAGUGUGCGCAGGCGGCAGAGCAAGUCGAGUGUGAAAGCCCCCGGGCUUAACUUGGGAAUUGCGCUCGAAACUACUUUGCUGGAGUGUGGCAGAGGAAGGUGGAAUUCCACGUGUAGCGGUGAAAUGCGUAGAGAUGUGGAGGAACACCAAAUGGCGAAGG
rnacentral:rRNA from 1 species